rnacentral:lncRNA from 1 species
ACUACUUCCAAUUGUGUUCUUUUGGGCUUAUCUCUUGUCCUUUUUGAGCCUUACACUUAAACCAACUCGCAUCUCCUAACAAGUACUGUAUUGGGUCUAUGUUGUACAUGACCAGCAUAUCUAAGUCUACUUUAUCUCUGCUUAUCACCUAUUGGAGCCAUACCUUAGUUAUCCUAAAUGUAAUCACUUAUCUAUUUCAACAUCCUCAUCUUAGCUAUAUUCAUCUUAUAGGUAUGUUGUUUAUUGACCGCUCAAUAUUUUGCCCCAAAGCAAAGCUCGUCUCAC